AAAAGUUUCACUGUUAGCUGAACCUCCAAAUAAAUAAGUUCCAAGUGGUCGGUGGCUUUUUGAACAAAAAAAGGAAUCACCUUUUAGUUAUUUUUUUUUAUACGGAAGCUAUCGUAAUUAAGUUGAAGGAGGAGAAAGUUUUGUUUUGUUGAAGAAGAAAAGUAUUAAUUUGGUAAAAAUUUGGGAUGAUUGCUAUCGGCCACUUGGAACCACUUAAAUGUUCAUCCCACUAACAUCAGGGAUGAAAUGAAAUAAAAAACUUUAGCAGCAGUCACGGGGUAGCCUAGGAGCUGGAAUCGUCUUUUGAGUUGGUUUUUGGACUAUCAUUAUUUUGUUUGGAACUUUGGAAAAGACUUUACGUUAGUUGGUGUUGGACAGUGAUUAAG